rnacentral:rRNA from 1 species
AACGAACGCUGGCGGCGUGGAUAAGACAUGCAAGUCGAACGGGACAGGUAGCAAUAUCUGUCUAGUGGCGAACGGGUGCGUAACACGUGGGCAACAUGCCUGGAAGAGCGGGAUAGCCCGGGGAAACUCGGAUUAAUACCGCAUGUGACAACGGGGCGGCUUCGCCCUGUUUUCAAAGGUGGGGACCGCAAGGCCUGCCGCUUCCAGAUUGGCCCGCGUCCUAUCAGCUAGUUGGCGGGGUAAAAGCCCACCAAGGCGACGGCGGGUAGCUGGUCUGAGAGGACUACCAGCCAAACUGGAACUGAGACACGGUCCAGACACCUACGGGUGGCAGCAGUCGAGAAUCUUUCACAAUGGGGGAAACCCUGAUGGAGCGACGCCGCGUGGAGGAUGAAGGUCUUCGGAUUGUAAACUCCUGUCAUGAAAGAACAAGCGAUGCGGGUGAACAGCCCGCAAAGUUGAUAGUAUUUCAAGAGGAAGGGACGGCUAACUUCGUGCCAGCCGCCGCAGUAAUAC